rnacentral:rRNA from 1 species
GUGCCUAAUACAUGCAAGUCGAACGAACGGAUUGAGGAGCUUGCUCUUCAAGAAGUUAGUGGCGGACGGGUGAGUAACACGUGGGUAACCUGCCCUUCAGCGGGGGAUAACAUCCGGAAACGGGUGCUAAUACCGCAUAGUUUCUUUUUCCGCCUGGAAGAAGAAGGAAAGAUGGCCUUUGUGCUAUCACUGAGGGAUGGACCCGCGGCGUAUUAGUUAGUUGGUGGGGUAAUGGGAUACCAAGACGAUGAUACGUAGCCGACCUGAGAGGGUGAUCGGCCACACUGGAACUGAGACACGGUCCAGACUCCUACGGGAGGCAGCAGUGGGGAAUAUUGCACAAUGGAGGAACUCUGAUGCAGCGACGCCGCGUGACGAUGAAGCUUCGGGUCGUAA